rnacentral:rRNA from 1 species
GAUGAACGCUGGCGGCGUGCCUAAUACAUGCAAGUCGAGCGAACGGACGAGAAGCUUGCUUCUCUGAUGUUAGCGGCGGACGGGUGAGUAACACGUGGAUAACCUACCUAUAAGACUGGGAUAACUUCGGGAAACCGUAGCUAAUACCGGAUAAUAUUUUGAACCGCAUGGUUCAAAAGUGAAAGACGGUCUUGCUGUCACUUAUAGAUGGAUCCGCGCUGCAUUAGCUAGUUGGUAAGGUGACGGCUUACCACGGCAACGAUGCAUAGCCGACCUGAGAGAGUGAUCGGCCACACUGGAACUGAGACACGGUCCAGACUCCUACGGGAGGCAGCAGUAGGGAAUCUUCCGCAAUGGGCGAAAGCCUGACGGAGCGACGCCGCGUGAGUGAUGAAGGUCUUCGGAUCGUAAAACUCUGUUAUUAGGGAAGAACAUAUGUGUAAGUAACUGUGCACAUCUUGACGGUACCUAAUCAGAAAGCCACGGCUAACUACGUG